rnacentral:lncRNA from 1 species
CUUAUUUUAUUACAUACCAAACCAUUAAUAUAAAAUUCAUCAACCUACUUGGAACCAACAAGAACAUCCCACAAGGCAUCUCUGCUCCAAAUCAAAGAUCAAAUGCAUCCAUGCGGUGAGUUCGCAUUGGUUUGAUCCAAGUGGAACAUUUCCAUACCUACACCCCCAUUAGCAUAACAAUCCUUUAUUAAACCACUAGCUAGACGUGCAAGAUUCAACCUACACACAAGAACCCACUAGAUAGACUUCCACUGGAACCAUGCAGCAUUCUCCCGUGAUGACCUCAUUACUCAGUCUUUUCUACUGGGGUUUCUGUUUCAACCUUCUCCUCUGUUUCAACAGGCUUCUGUUCUUCCUUUACUUCUUCUUCCUUUGGGGCUUCGACUGCAACCUCCGUUUCUUCUGCCGGUGCCUCACCAGGCUCUGUAGUCUCUUUAGCCUCCUCGACAACAGGCUCUACGGGUACUUCCGGCUCCUCUUUUGUCUCCUCAGCAACCGGCUCUGGUGUUUCCUUAGGUGUCUCCUCCUCAGUUUUCUCUAGUACUGUUGGCUCUUCUGCAGCGAUCUUGUUCUCUUCGAGCACCUCUUUAGUUUCAGCUUCAGCUGGGGCCUCGGGCUCUGGUGCCACGGGCUCCUCAGAUGCUGCAACUUUCUCUGCUUCUUUUGGCUCUUCAUGAGUUACUGCCUCUGGUGCUGCAGUGACCGCUUCUUCUGUGGUGGUCUCAACCUUGAUUGGUUGUUCAUUUUUUUCCUCUACAAGUGCAUUCUGCGCUGACACAACCUGCAGGAUACGUUAUUAAAAGAAAAGAAUGCUCACCAAAAUGCUGAUGAGGUCUUACCAUUUGUUAUAUAUAUAGAGAUGAAUAUACGAGUUUUCAAAUAUGAACAUCCACGAAUUAAAGAUCAUAAUUAAGAUGGAGGUGUUGAUCUUGAUGUACAAUCCAUCAGCAUAAAACUUAUCAGAGUUAAUUAUAUAUAUAAAUAUAUUUAAUGACUUGGAAGAAGUAUAUAGAUGAAAUCUGUUAAAUAAACUUCUCAAGAGGGAGAUUAAAUCAUUCUUAGUGAAUGAGUUACCUCAACAGUGGCCAUUGGAACUAGAAGGAAAAUAAAGCACAGCUGGGAUACAAAAGAAAACUGUAAGAAGCAAAAAGGUAGGAGUGAUUAUCACAGAAGAGGAUGAAGAAAUUGCUUUGAAUAUUUGAUGCAGAGUACGAGGGUGUAUUUAUAUAGAGAUGUAGGGGGCUCACUCGAGCGAGCGAGUGAGUGAGUGAGUGAGUGAGAGAAGAGAGCUACCGUUCGAGGAAUCUUGGGAUUUGAGACCACAGCUGAUGUCAUUAAAGAAUCGAUGGAAGUGAAUUGCUUUUUAGAAUAUAAUAUUUUUUAUUUAUAAAUAUAUUAUAAUAUUAAAAAGAUAAAAAAAAAUUAAAUUUUAACAAAUCUCCAUUUGGGCACACGAUUUAAUUUGAAAAAGCUAAAAUAAUGGAGGCCAUUUUCAUCUUAGCCAUCAUCUUCUUUUGGUCGUGUGUGCUGAUGUGCUUUGUGCAGUCGGUCACCUGAUUAUCAUUCAUUCAUGUUCUCAACUUGCCAUUCGUCCUUAACAACUCCUCCCUUUUUUUUUUUCUUUUUUUUUUAAGGAUAAAUGAAUUAAUUUUUUAAGAAAAUAAUGAAAAUAAUUUGUCAAAAAUUUUAGAAAUAAAAAAUUCCAUCAAUGCUGGGUCACUAAAAUUAUUAAUAAUAUUUAAGAAAUAAAAGCAAUUGACCAAAAGAACUUUCAAAAAAAGCUAUCUUUAUUUUUUUUUAAUAUUUCUCAAUAUUUGCUUGCACUAUAAACUAGUACUGUGAUUUUCUCAUGUUAAAUAAUAAUAAUAAUAAUAAUAAUCACCCUUAACCAAUAGGCAUAAUUUACUUCAAACAAACGAAUAAAACUCUGACGUGGAAAUUUAAGUUGGUCCCACGCUCUCUAUCGGCCAUUGCUUCAUCAAUUAUGGUAUUUCAUAAAAAUUUUAAUUUUUUUUAAAUAGUUUUAAUAAAUUAAUAUUAAAAAUAAUUUUUAAAAUAAAAAAUAUUAUUUUAAUAUAUCUUUAAAUUAAAACUACUUUAAUAAACAAGCUAUCACAUUAUCAAACGCUAUUUAAAGUCGGCGGAUCCCACGAGAUGCAGGGAUAGCAACAUUAGUGAAGGACUGGAUCAGCUGAGCUGGAGUUGGUGGACGGCCAUGUCCACGGAUUUCGUAGCUGUCCAUUACGUGUCAACAGUUUUUUUUUUUUUAUUAUUUUCUUCUACUUUUCCAGAUGGAUCCAAGCCUCCAAAAACGAAACAUUGGCUACAGUUUGAAAACUGUUAAAAAUGUUAAGAUUAACAAGACUAUCAACAUCAUAUUAAGUCAAGGAAUGUCAAUUUAUAAUUACGAGAGAUGUAGCUCAACCGGUUAAUAUCUAGAUUUGUUAUUUAAAAAUCACUAGUUCGAAUCUCACAAACCUUUAAACCACUAAAGACUUAUUUGAUUGUUAACUUCAGAGCGUGGCAUUAGUCGAGGUGCGUAUAAGUUAGUCUGAACACCCACGUUAAUAAUAAUAAUAAUAAAAAUGAUCAAUUUAAUAAGAUUAAUAAUAAUAAUGUAUUUAUCAAUAACAUUAUAUAAUUAUAAAUUGUUGAGAGUUCUUUUCUCUUUACAUGUUAUCAAAGCUUCAUUAUAUAUUUUCUCACACCAAAUCUUCCUUGAUUUUUCACAAAACUAGAAAUUUUAUCCUUACCGAAAAUGCAAUGACAUGAUUUUAUCCUUAAUUAUAAAUUUUUCACACCAAAUCUUUCUGACAACAUUUUAUUUUUUUACCACUGCCCAGGAUGUCAAAAAAGACCUUCAGGAUCGUCUUUCUCAGAGCAAUACUCCUUAUAUUUUUCAGAUAAAAAGAGACAUAACUUAUCUCAGUACUUAAGAUCAUAUGAUAGUUGCAGCUAGCGCUUACUAUAAAAAAACUUGAAAAAUUACGGGAUAAUCUGGGCUCCUAUGAUGACAUUGUUCGCUCUUUGUGAGACAGACCAUAAGAAAUGUAAAUUGAAGCCCUUUUUUUAUGGGACUCAAUGACAUAUUCUUUGAUAAAUAUGCUAGAUUUUGCUAAGGCAUACUCAUCUAUUGUAUAAGAAGAGGAGCAACGAAGCCUAGGUGUCGCACGCGAGGUAACAAAGGUCUUAGCCAUGGCCAUUUGAAGGGGUGAACCGAUAGCUCUGGGUAUCCAAAUUUUAAAAGUUCCUCUUCCUCGUCGCUAUUGAAAAAUACUUUUACAUCAAAUAUUUUACAUGUAAACAUUUUUUAAUGAUAAUAAUACUGAAAAAAAAAAUUAUGGUGAAGGUGAAGAUGUUGGUGUUGACAUAAUAAUAAUGAUGGAGGUGAUUGUGAGGUAAUUAGGGUAAUAGUAAAAGAAAAUAUAAUGGUGCUGGAGGAGGAGGUUGUGAGAUGGUGGUAGUGCUGAAAAAGGAGAUGGUGGUAAAAUAAAAAAAUAGUUAAAAUAAUUUUAUGAUAUUGUAAUUGAAUUACUACCAUUCAUAAAAUAUUUUAUAGAAUUUUAUGAUGUGAAAAUAUAUUAUAUCAAAUGAAUUAAAUUUGAAAGUUAACUGUAAAAUAUUAUAUAUCAAUCAAUUUUUUUUAUAAAAUAUUUCACGAGAAAUAAAUAUAAAAAAAUAUUUUUUUAAAAUAAACACAAAAAAAAAUUAAAAAAAUAUUUCCCUGUAACAGGAAACAAACAGACCGAUAGUCCUAAAAUAUUUUACCGAGCCAUAAUAGUACUUUUGGUUAACAUUAGAUAACAAAAAUGACGAUGAUAAUGUAUCUCAAAUCUUCUGAACCCUAACAUGUUGCAUUUAAUUAACUCAUCAUCAACAUAAAAUUGAUGAUGUAGGAUCACGUGAACCCUUCCUGUAAGAAUAAUAGCAGCAUGCAUUUUUGUGUACGGAUCAACAAUUGGGAACGGGCAUCGUUAAAAUCCGACAUUACCACCGUAAGGCGAUAAUGCCAUGAAUUUUGUAUAGUUUUUUGUGGAUCUCCAUGCCAAUAAACCCUAAUUGAAAACUUCGUACGGUAGCAGGCACCCAUUUCUACAUCGAGAUGCGUUUGCAGCAUGGAAUGAUUGUUGCUCGUCGUGCCGUUUCAUUUCAUUCCCCAAAUAGAAUAGGGGAGAGCUACAAGAACUCGAGAAGUCUCCUGUGAAAGGAGCUGUUCUGAAAGGUGUAAAGGGCUUGUCUUUUAGGUCUUGGUUCAGGUUUUGGGCGGUGGGCUAGGCUACAAAAGUGGAGCCGAAGUGGGGUUACAGUACACCAAUGAGGUGAUGCCAGGUGUAAUACACGCCACCGGCCACAUGGGAUGAUGCUGUAUCCAUGUCAUGUCGGAUGGAACAAGGUCAAUUGGAUUUCAAAAGAGGUGGGUCCCCGGGAUGAUGAUGAACCAUGGAGGUUGGUGGAAAGGAUGAAACUUUUGGAGGAGCAACCUGUCUCCGUCGAGUGACAGUCUCUUGGAAGCAAAUGUUUUGUGUUCAACGAUAUGGAUGAUUGCUAGCUUGGUAUUUUGGAAGCAAGAUCCAGAUUUUGGAGUUAAAUCAAGCUUAGUCAUGUUGCACCAUUUGCCUGUUUUAACCUCGCCAUGUGAGCUCAUCAUAGACAAAUGGUAGGUAUUAUGAUCAGUGGAGCUGGGAAGUUAAGAGGUUUAAUCAAAUCUUAGGACCUAAGAUAAUUUUCUUGCAAAUCCCUUUUCAUAGCCAUUAUUAAUCCUACGAUUUUCGCAACUAAAAACUAAACUGUUUGUGAAGGUUUGGCGCUACUAAGGAUUUGGUUUGUUCACCUUGUUAAGUCAUGUUCAUGUUGUAUCAAACCUUAUUGUAAAAUUGGAGCUAAACAUUACUUGAUAUAUGCCCUUUCAACCUUUUUCUUGUGAGCAUCCAAAUCCUUUAAUUCUACAAGCAUAACAAGUUUUCUUGAUAAUGUAUAUUGUUCAUGUUUAAGUGAUUGUGCUACAAGUUCCAUGGGGUAAUAUAUAUGAGAUCAAUGUUUUAAGUCAAAGUAAAUGGUAAGGCUUCUUAGACAAUAUUAUGUGAAGUUUAAUAUGCUUAUAAUAAUUCUCAUGAUAAUGAAUCUUGCCAAAUCUUAUGAUUGUUUUGAUUAAUUUAUAUGUUAAGGAUCAUAUUUUUAUUGGUUGAUUUCACUUGCCUAUUAGCCAAAGCAUAAUAAGAAGUAUAAUGAAUUAUUAUAUCCUCCAUGGUGAAUGUCAUAAUUUACUUUUUUACCCUUCUCAAGUAUAAAAAAAGGCAAAACUUAUUUCAAUAAAAAAGAAAAUAAUACACACACACACACACACAUAUAUGUAUACACUACACCAUUAAUCAGUUUUACCGACGGACUCAUUCCGUUGGUGACAGGAAUGAACUCCGUCGGUGAAAUAAUUACCGACGGCCUUACUGACGGAACACGUCCGUCGGUAUAAUAGUCGUCGGUAAUUUCCCUUUCCAUCGCUAAUUCUGUCGCAAAUAAAAAAAACAACCCACCGACGGUCUUACAGAUGGAUACGCGCGCCAAAGAAAAAAAAUUUCUGGCGGGAACAUUACUGACGAAAUCAAUCCGUCUGAAUUUUCAACGGUAAUUACCGACGGACAAUCCGUCGGUAAUUAUGGUAUCGGUGGUAAUUGUGUGGCAACUCUCUGUGAAAUACCGACGGAUAAUAUCCGUCGGUAAAGUCGUCUGUAUGUUAUCACCGACGGAUAGUAUCCGUCGGUAAUGACGGCAUGGCUGGUAAUUGUUUGGCAACUCUCUGUGAAUUACCGACGGAUAAUAUCCAUCGGUAACGCCGUCGGUAUCUAUUUAAAAUAUAUAAAAAUAAUAAUUUAUUAAUAGUAAAACUCUAAUAAACAAAUAAAAUUGGGUUAAACAUUAAAAAUAUUAAAAUAAUGUUAAAUAAUAUUCAUCCAAAUAUUCAUUACAAAUUUAAUGUGUUUAAAAAACAAAAUUAAACUAGGAUAGCGGCGGAGCUGGAGGAGGAGGAGGAGGAGGAGGCUGGUUGUUCCCGGGACCGUACGACCAAAAAGACCCUGCACAAGUAUCAUCACUCAUCUUUGAUCUCAUCUCCAUGACUAUGUGACGAAGCUCAUUAUAAUUCGUCGAGAGUUGUUGGUAUUGUUGUUUCAAGGCAGUGAGCUCCUCAGACCGGGUGCUCGAUACUGAUGGAGUGCUCCCAACGGUUGAGACACUACGAGCCGAACGCAAGUUUUCAGCCGUAGUGUUGGAGAGCCUGUAGACCCGAUUUUUAUCAGGUCCACCAGACGAUCCCACCUCCAUCCACAAAUCUGGAUCGAAAUCUGGAUGGGUCGAGGAUUGUUCCCAUAUCUCUCCCUCAACCGGCUAUUAUAGGUCUCUUGAAAAUUUUUAAAAAAAUCAUCAUAUGCAAUUCAAGAUGCAAUUCAAGAAAAUAAUAACUUACAAAAUAAAAUGAAUGAACGAACAUACCACAAAGUGCUGAGCACGGUUGUCCACAAACUGCUGCACCCCCUUUUGGCGGUCUUGACUCCACACAUGCAUCUCUACAAACAGCUCCAUUGGACUCGGCUCACGUCCAAGAGACGCAGCCUGUAAGGAAAAAAUAGGUUGAAAGUUAUUUAAUAAGGAACGACAAAUUAAUUAACGAUAUAUUUCAUUAAAAUUAAUCUUACCAUUCGCUUUGCAUGUGCGUUGAAUGGGAGGGAUCUGCCAGUGUGCGUGGUCACCGAACCAUGAAUUUGCCGGUUCCAGUUGUCGGCGCCGGACUGUGAGCGCCGUGAGAACCGCUCUAAGGUCACGUGCUCAAUAUAUGCCGUCCAUAUUUCCCCUGAGAUGAAUGGCAGUUUGAAUUCCCGUCAAACCGCCACCUCAUUCCAUCCUUCAAGACCGUUAUCCCUCACGUUUCUUUUUGAUUUUUUUUGGUGUCAUACCAAAAAUCACGCAACCUACUUCCAUAGUAACAAAUUAGAAUUUAAAACAUAAAAUUAUAAAACAAAAAUAAAUAUUAUUUUCGAUGUUACCUAGUUGCCGCGUGAUUCUCCCAUACCCUCCUCACAACAUUGUUGUUCGCCCUAUCCCACUCAAAUUUGUUCUGUGUAUAUAAAUAAUUCAUAUAAAAUAAAAAUAUUACAAGAUAUAAAAUUAUAAAAAUUAUUUAUUAAAAAUAAGCUAAAAAUUAAAAACUAACACCGACCUGAAAUCGCUUAAACCAUGCAUCGAUAUUAGGUUUCCACUCAGGAUGUUUGGAAACCUUGCUCCAUUGAAACAAUGGAAUCUCCAUCGACGAUUUAAACGCCAAUGUUAUAGCCCUUGCAGCCUCAAUGUUUGUGAACCUGAAAUUAAAUAAAAGUAAUAAUAUUAAUUAGUUGUUCAUAAAUUAUGUUAUAAGUAUAUAUAAAAAAAAGUAAAACCUAAACAAACUUACAUUGAGAGGUCAUCCUUCCAUUGUGCCUGGUACUUGCGGGUGAAUUGACCCCGCUGUGAAGGCACACCGCUUCUGCGCUGUGAAACCGCGCUAGAAGAGGCAGCAGCAUCACAAGUUGGCGUAGAUUCCUCGUCGUGAUCAGCACCUAAGGAUACGUCCUCCUCGCUGCUAGAAUAACUAGCUGCAACCGUCUUCUGACGACGUGCUGUAGAUUUCAUUCUACACAUCUACACAAAUUUAUACGAAUAAUUACAUAAUUAACUUCGAUUAUUUUUAAAAAAAUUCGACAGAGUCUCCCCUAUACUGGGGGGUUCCAAGUUAUCGACAAAAUCAUAUUACACUUCCAAUUUUAUUUCACAUCCCGAUCCAACCAUCCUGGAUCUCAACCCAACUCAUCAUCAACACAAAACAUCUUAUUCAAUAACAUCAUAAAACGAAAUUCAAGUAAAAGAAUCAAUUUCAACUAUGAACAUUCAUUGUUAAAUUGGUACUUAGAGUUACAAGCAAUAACAAUGACAGGUAAACAAUAAUAUCCUAAAUUAAGGUAAACUAAUUAAAUGUAUAAAUUAAUAUUUUUAACAUAAAUUCAACAAUAACAAUUAUAGCAAUACAAACAAUAAUAUCAUAAAAUUAAUAAAUAAAAUGAAAAAACUAAAAAAACACUAUACAAAACAACCUAAACACAAAACAAACAAUACACAAACCUAAAAAACACUAUAUCAAUUCAAAAUAAAUUUGGGAAUAAAAAAUGCUUACCUUAAUAGUGUGUUGAAUUUAAGAUUUUAUCUACAAACAAUUCACAAAACAAAGAACACCAAAAAAAAAAUCAUGAUUAAAAUAAAAAAAAUACAAAGAUAAAGAAAAAAGAAUACAUACCUUUUAAAACUACCACCAAAUAGGGGUAAAUCUCUUAAAAAAGCCAAAUGCAACCAAAUGAACGGAGAAGAAAAAAUGAAGAAGAAACGGAGCCAGAGAAAAAAUGAACCAAAUGGGGGGAGGGGGGGUUUUAUAUGGCAAUUUUUUCGACGGAAUUACUGACAGACAUUAAUUGUUGUCGGUUGCAUUAAAUUCCGUCGGUAAUACCGUCGGAAAUUAAUUGAAAUGCGCACAAAAAAAGUUUGAAAAUCCCGCCAGACUUUUCGAUCCGUCGGAAAAUCCGUCGGUAUUUGUGCAGACGGACACGUGUCUGACAUGCAUGCGCUUCGGGAUGUGCGUAAUUUUGUCGGAAAGACGUCGGUGUAGCCGUCGGUGAUUGUGGCACAAUCCCGUAAAUGUUUUGCAACUCUAUGGUCCGUCGGUGACUUCGUCGGUGAUUGUGGCACAAUCCCGUAAAUUUUUUGCAACUCUUUGUGAAAUACCGAUGGGUUUUAGUCCGUCGGUGAAAGUGGCACAAUCCCGUAAUUUUUUUUCAACUUUCUGUGAAAUACCGACGGGUUUAGUCCGUCGGUGAAACCGUAAAUUUUUCUUAUUUUUUUGUGUAACCGUGUCACAAAAACUUGAAUUGCAAUCUUACAGCACACGCAGCACAAUAACAAGAGUUGACCAUUAAAGAAGAAUAAAUAUUUCAUGUUCCAAAUUAUUACAUUAUAAAAAUAAGGCUUUAGAACAUGUUUAGUUAGUCGGAAUUUUCAUCUUCGUCCUCAAUUGAAUUGUUAUCAUCAGCUUCAUCGCACUCUUCAAUUUCGUUAUCAUCUUCUUCAACAACAUUCUUUUGUUCACUAGUAGAACUCAGAACAACAUUCAACUCCUCUACGUCAACAUCAACAAGACUAUCGUUGAAAACACGAAAAUUCAAAUUUUCUUCUAAGUCAAUCAAAGGAGCAACUCGGUAUGGUUCAACCAACUUACUAGCUUGAAAGACUUCAUCUAUCACACUUGUAUCUUUGUUCUCAUCCUGAACAACCUCGACACGACCCUUGGGUUUUGUUUUUAAAACGGAUAACCAAUCAACUCUUGAUCGGUCCUUUCUAAAGGAAGGGGUGUAUGUGUAAUAAACUUGUUGGCAUUGCUUUGCGAAAACAAAGACGUCAUUUACGUUACAGUGUUUAGCUUUUGAGUUGAUUUCAACGAGACCAUAGUGAGGAUCUACUCUGAUUCCUCUGUUAGUUGUGUCAUACCAAUAACAUUUGAAUAAAAACACUCUAUUCUGCUCGCUAUGAUAUUGCAGUUCGAUGACCUCUUCCAAUCUACCGUAGUAGUCAACUUCAAACUCACUAGAAGUCGAUCCCUUAAUACAAACACCGCUGUUGUAUGUCUUUCUUCCAUGCCCGUAUUCUUCAGUAUGAAAGACAUAUCCAUUGACAAAAUACCUGUUAUAGCACUUGACUUUUCUUUCAGGGCCCAAGCUUAGUAAAGACAGUGAAAUAGCAGCACUACCUCCCAUUUGAUAAACCUUGUAAAUUAAAUACAACAAUAAUUAAUAAACGGAUAUUAUGUAAAAUUGACAUACAAUUAAUUACAUUGCAAGAGAUAAUGAGUUUGUGAUAGGACUUAUAUGUGUUCUAAACCAUGUGGAAAAUUGUUCAUCUUGUAAUUGAAAGAUCUGGGAUUCGGUCAGUUGUGAGUUAUUGGACAGUAAGUAUCGUCGAUGUUGCCUGCAAGGUUGUUCCAAAUUAUAUGAGUUUAUGGUAUCACAAAACAUAAAUAAUACACUCUUGACAAAGUUUAAGUCGAACAUCUACUUACUUAAUAAAGGGUCUCAGCUCGUCACAGUUACAUAGGACAUAAUUGUGUGCUUGUCUGAACUCUAUUUCAGACAAAUAUCUUCCCCUCAUGGCAUUUUUAGGUGUGGGUCGUCCAGGAUUGGAGAAUAUUGACAAGUUCCCACUUGAAGGCACUUCACCACCAUCAUCAUGUCGUGGAACACGGUUGAUCCUCGUUCUCAAAUGAGGUUCGAAAUAGUAUGAGAUAAAUGUUGAGAACUCCUCAACAAUAUAGGCCUCACAUAUUGACGCCUCAACAUGCACCUUGUUCUUAACCUUUUUUUUUAAGAUUGAACAAAUACCUCUCGAAUGGAUACAUCCAUCUGUACUGGACCGGUCCUCCAACUUUUACCUCAAACGGUAAAUGUACGGGUAGAUGCUCUAUUGAGUCAAAAAAUGAUGGAGGGAAUAUCAUCUCAAGUUUGCAUAUUGUCUCGACGAUAUUCUUUUCAAGCCUUUCAAUGUGAUCAACAUUCAACUUGUUGAAGCAUAUAUCUCUGAAGAAAUGACUGAUCUCCGUUAGUGCAUCCCAUAUCCCCUUUGGCAACAAAUCACGAAAAACUAAUGGGAUGAGUGUUUGCAUAAACACAUGGCAGUCAUGACUCUUCAUUCCAUAUAAUCUGCAUUCCUCCGUGUUAACCAGCCUUGAUAUGUUCGAGGCAUGUCCAUCGGGGAAACGCAGACUCUUAAGCCAUUUGUAGACUAGUAGUUGUGCAUUUUUCUCUAGAACGAAGCUUGCUCUUGGUUUUGCGACCCGUGACCCAUCACAAACCAACUCUAUAUUUUUACGGUUACAGAACAACGCUACAUCCAAUCUAGACUUGAUGUUGUCAUUUGUUUUCCCCUUCACAUCCAUGACGGUGUUGAAAAUAUUCUCAAACACGUUCUUUUCAAUGUGCAUGACAUCAAGGUUAUGGCGGAGAAGAUUGGUCUUCCAAUAAGGAAGCUCCCAAAAGAUACUUCGCUUCACCCAAUUAUGGGUCAAACCAAAACCAGGAAACUUCUGCUUACCUGAUUGGAGACAAAACACAAUGUCACCGUACUCUGACACAACAUCAAACAAUUCUUCACCGGAAAGACGCGGGGGUGCAACAUCCGUUUCAACUCUGCCAACAAAGAAAUCAUUUUUGUUCUUUCUAUACCUGUGAUUCGGCGGCAACAAAUGACGGUGACAGUAAAAAAAAGAAGCUUUACCCCCGUUUGUUAGCGUGAAUGCCUUGUUGUUCUCCAUACAGUAUGGACAUGCUAGCUUUCCAUGCGUGCUCCAACCAGAAACCAUUCCAUAAGCUGGGAAAUCAUUGAUAGUCCACAUCAAAGCCGCUCUCAUAACAAAAUUCUCUUUCCUCGAGAUGUUAUAAGUCAAAGAUCCAGAGGACCACAACUGCGUCAACUCAUCAAUCAACGGACGAAGACAAACAUCUAUAUUCCGCCCCGGACUGCUCGGACCUGGUAUGACCAUAGAUAAAAACAUGAACUCCGGCCUCAUACACAUCCCCGGUGGCAAGUUAUAAACUGUUAGUAUGACCGGCCAACAAGAAUAAGGAGCAGCAAAUGACCCGAAUGAGUUGAAUCCAUCUGUACACAACCCAAGAUGCAUGUUCCUUGAUUCAGCUGAAAAGUGAGGAUGCACACUGUUAAAGUGUUUCCAUGCUUCACCAUCAGAAGGAUGAACCAUCACUCCAUCAACCGCAUGGUGUGAUUGUGCCAUGUCAUGUGCUCAGCAGUCCUUGGUGACAUGAAUAACCUCUGCAGUCUAGGUGUGAUUGGGAAGUAUCUAAGUUUUUUAUAUGCCACGAGAGUCUUUCCUCUACCAGUUCUGGGUUUGUAACGGGAAUGCCCGCAUGUCAUGCACUCGGUCAUCUCAGCAUUUUCAAGGUAGUAUAACAUGCAGAAGUUAGGGCAUAUAUCAAUUUUCUGGUAUCCUAAACCGAGGGGUUUCAUCAUGGACUUGGCAGCAUAGAAGUUCUCUUUCAAACUGUUCCCUUCAGGUAAAAUGCUUCUCGCCCAUUCAAUAAUCUUGUCAUAACCGGUCUCACUCAACCCGUGAUUUGACUUGAUGGUGAACACCUGUGCUACAGCUGAUAAUUUACUGUGGUUCGUGCAGCCAUCCCAUAAUGGUUCAUCAGAAUCUUUCAACAGAUCAAAAAACCCUACUGCAUCUGCAUUAGGUUCUUCUUCUAUGAUUGGACAUUCCCUGACAUUACCUUCACUCAUUCUCAUUGCAUCCAUAACCAUAUUCCUGUAAGGAUUACUGUUCUCAUUUCCAACUUCAUGCAUGUUGUUAGCACUAGAAGUUGACCACCUAUUCUUCCAUGCUCUCAUCAGGAACAAAUAGUUCUCCGUGUGCAUACCAACACAAGUAAUCCUCCAUGAACCCUUUGGUUAGAACAUGCAUCGUUACAACAUCUUGAUGCAGAAACUUUAAAUUUUUACACUUCCUGCAUGGACACCUAAUACCGCCAUCAGUAAAAUUCCUCGGAAUAGAUGUUGCGAAAUUAAUAAAACCCUGGACACCGUUACAAUAAUCCAUCCUCCGCAAUCCUUGGGGUGAGUCCCGAUACAUCCAUGAACGAUCAUCCAUGACUUCUAUUGAACCUCUAUAAAACAUAAUAAAAAUAUUGGUUUUCCCUGACAUUAUCAAACAAAUUAAAACAACACUUAUGUUAAAUAUUCAUUAUCAAUUAUCAACUAUCAACGUUCAUACAUACAAAUUUAUACAUAUAUAAAUUUACAGAAAUCACAACUUCGAAAUAGAAUUGAUAACAAUUAAAAAAGACCCGUUAAACUCGCUAUUAAUUAUUUAUUUCAUCACAACACAUUUAAUUCGGUGUAAUUCAAACAAAAUUUCAACAAUUUACAAACAAAUAUAAUUUGACAAAAUCUAAAACAAACUAUAACAACUACAAAAUUAUACAUUCAUACUACAAGUUUCUUUGACAAAUAACAAUCAAACAAGUACAUACGUUAACAAAAUACAUAUACUAAAAAAACAAUAAAAUUCACAUUUAAAUGUUAAAACUAAAAAGAAUAGAUUUACUUACAAAAAAAUGAUAAAAUCCACAAGAAACGGAUAUUGUGACCAUGUACAAGGUAUAAGAAACUUGAGUGCUUGUGUUGAAAAUAGUGGAGAGUUGGGAUAGGUGGUUGGCUGCAGUUUGGGAGGGGAGAGGUGGGAUGGGAAAGAAGAAGAAGGAGAAACAGAUAAAGAGAGUGUCGGCAGAGGGGGUGUAUAUAAUGGUUUUUACCGAUGGACUCACCGACGGAUAUAUUCCGUCGGUGAUUCCAUUGGUGAUUUCAUCGGUGACAAUGCCAUGUCACUGUACGGCUAUCUUAGUUUGAAUCCCUCGGUCAUUCCGUCGGUAAAAUCGUCUGAAAAAACUCCACGUCACCACGCCGUUGCAUCUUUCCAAACAAAAUGUAUAGUCCGUCGAAGAUACGGUUGGUAUAUACCGUCAGAUUUUGAGAUGGAAUUUAGUCCGUCGGUAAUAACUACCGAUGGAAUAGUUCCGUCGGUAAUUCCGUUGGUUUUCUCCGGUUUUCUAGUAGUGAUAUAUAUAUAUAUAUAUAUAUAUAUAUAUAUAUAUAUAUAUAUAUAAGUACUUUGACUAAGUUGCUAUAAAAGUGGUGCAAAGAGACCAUCCCAAACAACUUUGGCUAAAAUGUACAACUAUUGUGGAGGGUUAAGAUUAACCUAAGAGAACCAAGGGUUAUAAUCAUUCCACCAAGAAAGCUUGUUCAAGCUUCAUCCAUAUAAAUAAAUAGAUUGGCAAAGCAAGAAACAAUAAAAGCUUAGAUAAAAAGAGAAAAUGCCAAGAGAGAUUGAGGGAAAAGAGAGUUUGAUUUUAUAGAAGUGAGCCAGAAGGUGAAAGAGGAGAAAAUAGAAGAAGAAGGGAAAUAAAAGAGAGAAAAGAACCCAAAGCCAUAUUAAAAAAAAAACAAAGAGAAAAAAGAGUUUCGGGAUGAAAAUGAAAUUGAUAUAAGCUAGAAAGUUGAAGGAAAUGAAAGAAGACAAAGAAAGAAAGACAAAGAAAUAAGAAAAUAAGAGGGAAAAGGAAAAAACCAAAGAGAGAAAGAAACUCGAAGUAGAGAGAGAAAGUCACCUAAAAACCACAUUAUCACUGGCACAUCACUAUAUUUGCCACUAGUGACCACCACGACACUUCCUUCCUUGUCUGAAACCAAUGUAGCCAUAAACAAUCCAUCUCUUCUUUAGUCUUAACACAUACAAAAAUACAUAAGAGAAUUCAUGGAUGACAACAUUAUCUAAUUUCAAAUAUGUUUCAAAUGAAAUUGAUAAAAUUACUUAGCUUAUGAUGAAAUUCAGAAAUGUAUGAGUCUUUAUUAAAAUAAAAAUAAUAGUAAUAAACUAGUUUUGUUGCCCUCACUCCACUGUGGGUAUGGAUUUGAGGUGUUAGUAAUGUCGUUACAAGCUUCUUCUUCUUCUUCUUCUUCUUUUUGCAAAUAUCAGUAACCGAUAUAAAUUAGGAGCUCUAAAAAUGAAAAAAACAAAUUGGAAAAAUGAAGUUACCACCUAGUAAUUAAAGGAAACUAGAAAUCCUAAAACAUAUAUUGGUUCUAGAGAUUCAUGUAAAGGGUUAUUGAUACCUUUACCGUAUUCUUUCAAGUGAAAUGUUAUCUCUACUAUGUGUUUUCUCCUAAAUUCAUUUUCAUGCCAUCAGAUAUCCUAAAUAUUUUCUAAGCUUAUUUGCAAUUUAUUUAUAAUUAUUUGUGAAAAACAUCGAUGUCGAUCCCUGGAAAUGGAAGACUUGUUGACUUGACAAUUCAUAAAAAAAUCGAUGCUCGUCCCUAAAGAUAACAAACUCAUCGACUAGGUCAUUUACAAAAAAAAACUAGUGUCUAUCCCUAAAAAUAGAAGACUCGUCAAUUAGACCAUUCACGAGAAAUAUGAUGUCCGUUCUUAAAGAUAGAAGACUCUUUGAUUAUCUCAAGUCAAACAAAAAUUUCAAAAAGAUCAAAAGAUGAAACUACCAUCAUAUAUAAUAUAUUAGAAGUGACAUGGCACACUUACUUUCUCUUAUCCCAUUUUGCCUCACCUAAAAAUCACAAUAUCUAAUAGAAAUAUGAAACCUAAAAACUAUAAAUUGUUUAAUCAUUUUUUUUCUCAUAGAUCACAAUCUCUCAACUAUUGCAUCUUUUUAUUAUUUAUUAAAAACUCUAAUCUCUUUCUACAUCAGAUCUUGGUUUCCAAAUUCUACAAUCCACUUUCUAUAUGUUCUUCUUUAUUUUUUUCUUUUCUUUUCUUUUUUGUUUUUUCUCCUUAUAUCUUUUUAAUGAUUUUAGAUUUAGGCUUCCUUGUCUUUAAAUUAUAUUGUUUGGUAACUAACUUAGGCUUUCUUUUUCUUUUUGGUUCAUGGUACGAGCUAGAAUUUUUUAUUUUACAUGUAUUUUAUUUUCUCUUAAAUUCACUACAAGAAUGAACCCAUUUGACUAAAAGCAGAAAAAAGGAUGUUCUUGAAUUCAAAUUGAUUUAAUUGCAUUCAAUUUCCUUUUUAAUAACAUAAAAAAUUAUAAAACCAAAGAAACUAGUUGAUGGUGAGGUAAUUUAUUUUGCUUAAAUUCCUACCAUUUAGACAUUUUCGUAUGACUUAAAAUUUGAGUUUCUGCCACCUCUAUUUUGUUUUGGCCGUGUUUGUUUUGAGUAGAAACUUGUAUCAACUAAAGUCUCAACCAUGUUCAUUGGAACACAGACAAAUGUUUUGAGUGGAAGAACAUUUUAUACCUAACUAAAAAGGUAAAGAUUGCCAAAUUUAAAAAAACAAUAUCCAACACACAAGCUAUUUAGGUUUUUCCCCGACUUCUUCAUUUUGAAUCGACCACUUGAAAUAUGCAAAAUGUGAUAGGUUGUUGGAUGCAUAUAAAUUGUUUGAUGAAAUGCCUGAAAGAGAUUUCAUGCCUAAAAAUAAACGAGUUUUAGGGAGAUUAUGGAUGACAUUAUUGUAAUUAUAAAUUAUGGAUGUCAAUUUUAUUAUUUUGAAACUCAAGGGCUUUUUAGUCAUUAAAAUAAAUAAAAUGACAAACUUGUAAAUAUUUGGAUAUUUUAUCUAUUGUUUUGACACGUGAGGUUGAUAAUAUAAAUUAUUAUUUAACAUGUAAACCCCAAGAUGAUGAGAAUUAACAAGUGACAUUGUUUGUGCUGAUUUAGUCAAUUACAAGGUGAGGGGCUAAUAGGAUUAAAGAAGCACUUAAUAAGCUUAUUCAUGAUAUUUAGACCAAGACAGGUUUCAAGACUACAAAAAAAAAAAAAAUUAUUUCCCUAACAUUUGUUGUUCUCCUACAAAGACAAGGAUUCCUAAUUUGGGUUAGACAAUAGAGGUGGCAACAUGGAGUUUCUUAUUUGUUAAGGAUUCAAACAGUAGUAUAAGAUUAAUUACUUUGCAAGUUUCUCAUGCUGGCAAAAGGACAACAUGUAGGCAAUAUAGAGAUAAUUAAUUUAGCAAGUUUUUUCCUACAUUAAUUAACUCUACAUAGUUAGGAAGUUUUGGGUUCCUACAUUAAUUAAUUAUAUAGAGUCGACAAGUUUUGGAUUCCUAAUAAUCCAAGUACACCAAGGCAACAAUUAUCUAAUUCUAUAGAGUUAAAGUGUUGGUUAAGAAUUUUGAAGGGGUAUAAAGUUCAACUAUCUUAUUAUGCAAUGCAAAUUAUUUUAGCAAAGACUUUUUAUGGACAUACAAAAAUUUGUUUAAUUAUUUUAGUUUUAAGUCUUUGUUAUUCAUUUGGUUCAAGCACUUUAGGCUUAGAUGUACCUACUCCAAUUGAAGAGUUUGUUAUUGCCCGUUUAAGAAUGGCAAUGGUCUUUUCGGCAGCUUCCAAUUGCUUACUCGAUUUUGCUGCAAGAAAAAUGUACAAACUCUCAGCCCUUUCGGUGUUUUCCAUAGCUUCCUUCAAGCGAUUAAUGAUAGAGCGUUCUUCACCUUCUUUCUCAUGCCCUAUCAAAGUCUCAAGUCGCAUCAAUUGUUCCCGAAUAGCUUUCAUAACUUCGGGCUGCACGAUCCUAGAAUCAACCAUGCUCUCAUACCAAUUAUCACAAGGUUAAAUUUUUUGCCCUAAAAUUCAGCCCUAUAUGGCAGUCUAGUCCCGACUAGACUAAGCCUUGCCUCCCCUUUUCACUCAUGUUUACCUUCAACUAUGUGUUUUGCUCACCCAAAUAGGUUCCCAUAAUUUUCUUGUCGUAAGCAAAUAACAUACACAAGUAAAUGAACUCAAAGCACAUCGAGAAUACAAGAAGAUCUCUCAACCUUUAUUAAUCUCAUCAAUAAAGGAUUACACAAUAUAAGUGUGUGUAUGUGUGUAUGUUAUGCACAAUGAUUGUAUACCACACAGCUAAAGCUUUGCAAUCUAUUUAUAAACAAAGAUAUGUGAGUUGCAAGGCACAACCAUGAUCCCUAUUGUCUAGGACAUAGUAGGGCACUUUCUUUCCUAUGUUCUUCAUUAACUUAGUGACCUAUUUUUCAGCAAGUAGUGGGCAGUUCCUCCCUCAUGAUCUUAGUAACUUGUAGGGAAACGAAGUUCUGCCCCAUGAUCUAUAUGUCCAUAAUUGCUACCACUAACCCACGAUCUGCAUGUCCACCUGGCAGUCUCAACCACUAGUUUUUGUUGUGUCUGCUGCAUUUGCUUAGAAGGUCCAUGAUCCAAGCCCCAUGUCCAUGUUAAAUCAAGAGCUCAAUGACUCGUACAAACCGUUGCACGCUACUUGCCAAAUUCAUCAUUGCCUAUACAAGGUUGUCGCUGUCUAUCGCUGUCGAAUUCUAGGCAUUGUGCAUUCAUUGGCGCAUCCUCGCACCUAGAGCUCUAACAAACCACCCCCACCAAAAGAGUUUGACGUUCUUGUCGGAAUAGAAGUGAUCUUUAAAUUGCCAUAAAUUUGUAUCCUUCUCCCACAAAACCUCUAUGUUUUUCUCUCAUUUCACUAAAAACUCAGUUCGUUGAUUCUUCUUAUGUUGGCUGAGUUGACGAUGAUCCAUGAUCUUGACGAUACCAUUGUCAAACUAUUUAUGAAUCUUAGAAAGAACUCUUUAUGACUUACUUCAUUUUGGAUCCUCUUGGUCUUUAUGAAAAGGUCGCAAGUAACUUACGUGAAAAGUAGAAUGAAGCUUUAGCCGUUCGGGCAGCUUCAAUAGCCCCCACCUUUUCCAUGAUCUCAAAAGGUUCAUCGUAUCUCAGCACCAACCCUUGAUGCUUUGUCUUCCCCAUAAUUUUCUUCUAGAUUUAUGGAGUUAACUUGAGCAACACCUUGUCGUCCUUACUGAAUUCCAACAAUCUUCGCUUUUGAUUAACAUAUUUCAACAUCCUUUUUCUUACUUUACACAAGCUAUCUUGGGAUUCCUCAAACAACUCUUGCUGCUCCAUCGCAAACCUAUACACCGAUGGGCUUUUCCCACCAGAUUUCUACACUGCAAUCUUGACAGGAGUGUGGGGUUGUGCUCCCAAAACCAACUCAAACAGACUCGCUUCUAUUACCGAGGAUUUUUAAAGAUUGUAACAAAACUACGCACUAUCCAGCAACUCCAACAAGUUUCGUUGCAUCGCUAUCACGUAGUGUCUCAAAUAUUCCUCCAAUAGAGCAUUUAUCCUUUGUGUCUGCCCAUCGGUUUGUAGAUGAUUGACAUUGGAAAACUUCAUCCUUGUCCCUAUUAUGUUGAACAAUGUUGUCUAGAAUCUGCCCGUGAAUUGCACAACACGUCACUUACAAUGUCAAAAGGUACUCCAAAAUACUUCACCAUGUUUUGGUAGAAUAACUCAGCGAUCACUUUAGCUGUACACACCGCUAGGGUAGCCACAAACACUGCAUACUUGAUUAAUUUGUCUACGACAACCAUGAAAGUAUUCAUGCCAUCCACCUUUGGAAACUCAACAAUGAAGUCCAUCGAAACAAAUACCCAAGGCUUGUCUGGAAUCAGUAGCGACUAUAACAAGCCUUCCUCCUGCUACCGUAAGGUCUUGUCUUGCUGGCACACUAGACAAGUCUUGACAUAAAGUUCUACGUCGUCGUCCAUCUUUAACCAAUAAUAAGUUUAAGAUAAAAAAAAAACACAACCAUCCUUUCUUUACCUGGAUGUCCAGCCUACUGCGGGUCAUGUGUCUCUGUCAUUAAAUAUUUCUGCAACUCUCCCUUUGGCAUAAAGAUUUGACCCCCCUUUGCAUUGAGUAGGUCUUGUUCUAGCCAAUACCUUUGUAUUGUCCCUUCUCAUAUAAGAUCAACUAGCUUUUUGUAUGAUGUAUCUUCCCUAGUAGCUUGACGAAGUCGACCCAGCAUGUCUAACUCCACCUGAACAAUAGCAAUGACAAUAGCAAUUACCACAUGUUUGUUAAGUGCAUCUGCAACCUGAUUAUGCCUCCCUAUUUUUGUGAUCCCAUACAAAGUCAUACUCAGCCAAGAAUUCUUAUCGCUGCGACAAUUUCUUUUAUGUCCUGAAGAAGGUGUUAGUAAUGUUGUCGGUCUUGACAACAAAUCUUGGCCCCAACAGAUAUACUCUUCAUGUGCCAAAACAGUGCACCACUAUAGUUAUUUUUUUCUCGUGGGUCGAGUAUUUCUGUUCAGCAUCAUUUAACUUGCGACUCUCGAAAGCAAUCAGAUGUCCCUUUUGUUCGAGCACAACCGCAAUGGCCCUAUCCAAAGCAUCAGUAUGUACUUCAAAUGGCUUCUCGAAAUCAGGCAGCCCCAAGACUAUAGCUGACGCUACCGCUAUCUUUAGCUUCUCAAAAGCUUGUUAGCAGUCAACAAACCAUUCCCAUCUCUGAUUCUUCUUUAGAAGAUCUGAUAGAGGAGUUGUUUUCUUGCUAUAGCCCUCAAUGAAUUGUCUGUAGUAGUUCGCAAGCCGUAAAAAUGAUCUCAACUCCGGGACUGUCUUCAGUGCUGACCAUUCAACGAUGGCUUGAAUCUUCCGUAGAUCCAUCUUUAUCUGUCCCUCCCUAAUUAAGUGAGCUAAGAACAUAAUCUGAGUUUUUGCAAACUCAUAUUUUUCUAUCUUCACAUACAAUUCAUAUUCCCUCAAUCUACUUAUAACUUUAGAAAGAUAAAUUACAUGAUCUUCUAUGCCUCUACUAUAGAUCACAAUGUCAUCUAAGCAGACUACAAUAAAGUUGUCCAAGAAAUCAUAUAAAACAUUAUUCAUCAGAUUACAAAAUAUUACUGGAGCAUUUGUUAGGCCGAAUGGCAUAACUAGAAACUUGUAUGAACUAUACCUCGUCACACAAGAAGUCUUAUGCUCGUCACCCUCAGCAACCCGCAUUUGCCAGUAUCCUAAUCGCAAGUCUAAUUUUGUAAAGAUAGAGGCUCUACACGAUUUGUCCAUCAAAUCCUGAAUAAAAGGAACUAGAUAUUUAUUUUUGAUGGUUACCUUGUUAAGUGUUUGGUAGUCCACACACAUGCGAAGGCUCUCAUCUGCCUUCUUUUGAAAUAAGACCGGAGCACCAUAUGGAGCCUUGGAAGAAUGGAUAAACCUCGUGUCAAUUAGUUCUUUCAAUUGCUUCCUUAAUUCUACCAAUUCCAUUAGCGACAUUCGAUAAGGGGCUUGAGAUUGUGGCUUUGUUCCCGACACCAACUCAAUCUAAUGGUCUAUGGCCCUACUAGGCAGGAGUUUUUUCGGUAACUGAGGCGGCAUCACAUCCUCAAAUUGCUUCAGCAAACUAGCAAUUUUGUUUGGCAUCUCCUUAUAGUAGUCUGUUUUCUUGUCUACUACUGUCGCAAGAAACACUUCUCCACCUUUUUGUAAUGCUUUCUCAAUAGCAAUGGCCGAGAUCAAGCCUUUUCCACCCCUAAUGACAUUCAUCGUUGCGACAUUGCAACAUGGGACAAAACAUGGGUAUCCCUCACUUGUAAUCAUAACUCCAUUGAGAUACGACAUCAAAACAAUCUUAGAUUUUCUCAAGAAAUCAAGACCAAGAAUAAUAGCGUAGUCAUCAAGAUUUACAACCAACACGUCUUGCUUACCUCUCCACUGAUCCAGCGUUAUUGGCACAUCAUAAGACAUUCUUGCAAUUCUCUAUGCAUUCGAGUUUACUGCCUUCAUUGAUGUAUGGCUAUCACUCAGCCGCAAACCAAGUUCCUUCACCAAUCGAUCAACUAUAAACGUGUGAGUUGUACCUGAAUCCAGCAUAACGCUAACGUCUUUGCCAUUUAUCCCAAUUCUCACAUACAUCAGAUUAUCCGCAAACCCUGAUUUCCCUUUUCGCGACGCAUCAAUCCUUGCCAAGUCUUGAUAAACAAGGCUGGUUUUGGCAGUCGCAUCCCCUUAUUCAGCUAUCAAACAGUUUAACAAACGCAUAGGAUUGACAUGCAUAACUACCCCCUCAUCCUCAUUGCUAUCUCCAACCCGAAUAGCAUUCAACUUUUCCCUCUUCGGACAUUUCCUUGUAAAAUGAGGACCAUCACAAAUGAAGCAAGUAAAGUUCGGUUUAGUACCUUUACCUUGUGCACCAUUAACUUAACCUUGCCCUUAUCCGCGACAGCCUUCGAUGCACCCCCACCAAACUUCUUCUUCUCCUCCUCCUCCUUGUCUUUUACCCUAGACUUGAAGGAGGUUGAUGUAUAACCCUCUCUAGUAGUUGAUUUAAAAUCAACCAAACUAUCCGCAGCAGUAAUAGCGGAGGACAGAUCUUUUAUGUUAUGUUGUCUUAGUUCUGCUUACGGCCAAGGUUGAAGUCUAGACAUGAAGUUGAAUAACCUGUCAUUUCAGACAUAUUUUCUAUGUCGAGAAUCAAAGAACUAAAAGAUUUAACAUACUCACGAACUGACCUUUCAUGUUUAAGCUUUUUCAAUUCCUCCCGCGCAAAUCCAGGAUGUGUUGUUUGAAAGGAAUUGUUAUUUCAGCUCUUGCUUAAAACGAUCCCACAUUUCAAUUUUCAAACAUCCAACACUUAAGUCCUCUUUGGUUCUCGUCCUUCACCAAAGCUUAGCAUCACCUGUGAAAUACAUCAUGAUGAGAUCAACUUGUUCAGCCACGCCGAUCUUUACAACACUAAAGUAUUGCUCCAUGUCCUACAAGAAAUUUUCCUUUGAAAUUCUUGCCCCAUCGAAAGACUUUAGUUUAGGCACUUUAGGACUAUAUGUACUUACCCCAAUUAAAGUGUUUGUUAUUGCCCGUUUCAGAAUGGAAAUGGUCUCUUCGACAGCUUCUAAUCGCUCACUCAAUUCUGCUUCAACAGAAAUGUACAAACUCUCUGCCCUUCCAGCGUUUUCCAUAGCUUCCUUCAAACAAUCAAUGAUAAAGCAUUCUUCGCCUUCUUCCUCAUGCCCUAUCAAAGUCUCAAGACGCAUCAAUCAUUCCCGGAUAGCUUCCAUGACUUUGAGCUGGAUGAUCCUAGAAUCAACCACGCUAUGAUACCAAUUGUCACAGGGUUAAAUUUUUUGCCCCAAAAUUCAACCCUAUGCGGCAAUCUAGUCCCGACUAGACUAAGUCUUGCCUCCUCUUUUCACUCAUGUUUGCCUACAAAUAUGUGUUUUGCUCACCUAAUAAGGUUCCUAUAAUUUCCUUGUCAUAAGCAAAUAACAUACACAAGUAAAUGAACUCAAAGCACACUAAGAAUAUAAGAAUAUAUCUCAACCUUUAUUAAUCUCGUCAAUAAAGGAUUACAUAAUAUAAGUGUGUGUGUGUGUGUGUGUGUGUGUGUUAUGCACAAUGAUUGGAUGCUACACAGCCAAGGCUUUACAACCUAUUUAUAGACAAAGAUAUGUAAGUUGCAAGGCAUAACUAUGAUCCCUAUUUUUCAAGAUAUAGCGGGGCACUUUCUCCCUCAUGUUCUUCAUGAACUUAAUGGCCUAUUUUCCAGCAAGUAGUGGGCAGUUCCUCCCCCAUGAUCCCAUGAUCUUAGUAGCUUGUAGAGCAACCCAGUUCUGCCCCAUGUUCUGCCCCCAUGUUCUCAUGAUCUGGAUGUCCAUAACUGCCACCACUAACCCACGAUCUGCAUGUCCACCUAGCAAUCCCAACUGCUAGUUUCUGUUUUGUCUGUUGUGUUUGCUUAUAAGGUCCAUGAUCCAAGCCCCAUGUCCAUGCCAAGUCAAGAGCUCAAUAACUCGCACAAACCAUUGCACAUUGCUUGACAAAUUCAUCGAUGCCUAUGCAAGGCUGCCGAUGUCCAUCGUUGUUGAAUUCUAGGCAGUUUCACUGAUAUUUUAACUUUCUUAGGUUGGUUUUAUCUUAUUUAUGGAUCCAAGGGUUUUUACCAUUUGGGUUCGAAUUACUUGGUAUCAGAGCCAAACUUUAAAAUUAGGUUUUAUCUAUCCAUUUAUUUUUAAAUUCUUAUGUUGUUUUAUUUUCAAUUUUUGAAUUGUGGCAACUAGUGUGUGUGUGUGUUCUAUCAAAUUUGCAUUCUAUCAAAUCUAUAUAUUUAAGAAAAAAAUUGAAAUCACAAGUUUUUGUUAUUGUCGCAAAAUCAAAACUUAUAAUUCUUGAAUUCGGUACUUAAGAAAAAUCACAACUUAGAUUUACUAAAUUGGUUGUUUUUAUUAGUGGGUGUUUUUUAUUUAAAUCUUGAUUUCAGGUUUCAUAUUAGUUUUGAUUUCAUUUUGAGUAUGAUCAGUGGGUAAUUGCAAUUCCAAUUGUUUGAGUCUACACUUAAUUUUUGGGUUUUAUUAAGUUAUUCUUGGAUUUUGUUUUCAUUUUGUUCUUUCAUUUUCAUUUUCAUUUUCAUUUUCACAUUCAUUUUUAUUUUUUAUUUCAUAUUCAUUUCUUAAUACACUUUCAUUUUUGUUUCCUUCAUUCUUGACUAUCUUGUUCUUAAAUUCUAAUUGUUGCAAGUUACUAAACUUAAAUUUUCUAUUAUUGUGAUUAGUUUUCCUAAAGAAUUGAAAAGGAAAGCACGAGGGGAAAAAGGCAUAAGGUGAGACUAUUAUCAUGAAAAACAAAAAUAUGAGUGAAACACGAAAGGAGUGACUUAUUAUUGAGUGAAACACGAAGGGAGUGUGUUAGAAUAUUUUUAUUACUAACAUAAAAUCUCAAAUUUGCCGAUGUAUUUCAAAGAAGAGGAAUCACUUAAGAAGGAGAAGGAGAACAUGUUCUUUUUAUUAUGAGCCAUGUAAUAACAAUUUAAGAGGAUAAAUGUGAUGUUUGGUAAAGUGCACAACCAAUAGGAAGACAUGAGGCCAUGAUUACAAGUUUGUGAAAGGGGUCAUCUCAAAGGGUUCCUAAUGUCAGAAGACUAGAAAUAUGUGCAACUACACCAAAGUUGGUUGAUGAGAAUAAAGAUGAAGAAGUCAAAGACUUUGAUUAUGUAUCAUUCAUCUAAGGUGAAAGAUUUUGGCAACAUAAAAAUCAUGAUGAUAAAGGAUUUUGACAAUUUGGAAAUUUUAGCCAUAGAUGAGUAGGAAAAUAUAUGGGGUUGCGUGAUGUCUUGGACAAAACUUUAAAAUGUAUUAAGAAGCAAAUUCUAAAAUUUUAGGAGAGGAAUGAUCCCGAAGCAUAUUUAGAAUAAGAGAAGAAAGCGGAGUUGAUCUUCGAUUAUCAUAACUAAUCAAAAGAGAAAAAUAUAAAACUUGUUGUAGUUGAAUUUACUAAUUAUGUUAUAAUUUGGUGGGAUUAACUUAUUUUGAGUAGGAAAAGAAAUUAUGAAUAGCCUACUGACAAAAGGGAUAAGAUAUAGGCAAUCAUGAAAAAGAGAUUUAUGUUAGAACAUAAUUAUUUGGAUUUAUAUGAUAAGUUACAAAGUCUAACUCAGGUUUCUAAAAGUGUAGAGGACUACCAUAAGAAUAUGGAAGUAACUAUAAUUCUGUAAAAUGUAGAGGAGGAUCAAGAAGCUACUUUGACUAAGUUUAUGAAUGGUUUGAACAAUGGGAUAAUGAAUGUGAUUGAGUUAGAAAAUAUGAUGCAUUUGGCUAUAAAGGUGGAAUGACAACUUAAGAGGAAUGUCAAUACAUGGCAAGUUUAGAAUGUUGGUUCCUUUUCGACAUGGAGACUGAAUUAUAGGAAAGAGAGGGCUUCCAAAACAAAGUCAAAUAUAGGAGCUAAAACUAACCCACCUAAAAGAAAAAAAGAAAAGAGAAGAAGUCUUCAUUGAUAUUAGAGAUACAUUUGAUACUUAAACAACUAAUAAUCAUGAUAAUAAGUAUUUUUUAUGUAUGGAAAUAUGUCAUAUAAUGCUUUAAAGUGAUAGCAAUGAUGAAGAGAUGCCACCACUUGAGUAUGCUAGUGAUGGAAAUACAAAAUAUUUGGUUAAGGGUGAAUCACUUGUGAUUAGGCAAGCAUUAAAUGUGCAGAUUAAAAGGAUGAUUUAAAGCAAUAAAAGGAAAAUAUAUUCCAUAAAAGGAGAAUAUAUUCCUUAAAAGAUAUCACAUCAGUAAUAAGAUAAGUAGUAUGAUUAUAGAUGAUGCAAGUUAUGCUAAUGUUGUUAAUACUACACUUGUUAGGAAGUUGAAUUUGAAUAUAACAAAGCAUCAUCAACCUUAUAGACUUUAGUGGUUAAAUGAAUAUGGUGAUGUGAAGGUUAAUAAAUAGUUUUUGUUUUUGUUUUUUAUUGGGAGAUAUAGUGAUGAAGUCUUGUGUGAUGUAGUUUCUAUGUAUAUUAGUCAUUUAUUAUUAGAGGGGUUGCGAUAGUUUGAUAAGAAGGUUGAAAAUGAUGGGUUUAGAAAUAAAUAUUCUUUUGUAAAAGAUGGAAAAUUUAUCACUCUUGUAUCAUUGUCACCAAAAUAGGUUUAUGAGGACCAAUUGAAAUUGAAAAGAGGAAGUGAGGCUGGGGGAGUGAAAAUUCAAAGAAUGUCGUGAGUUUUUAGAAGAGAAAGAAGUCAAAUUUGACCAAGAGAGAAAAGAAUAGAGAGUUGGUUGAGAGUUGAGAAAGAAAGAGAGAAGGGAAAUAAGAACUGAGAAAAGAGAGUUUAAGGGAAAAACAAAAAAGCAUAAAAGUUGUUAUGCAAAAAAAGAGUGUUAUUAAUAAUUUAUUUAUACUAAGAAUCAUAUACAAAUUUGUGUUGUUUUCUCUUUGUUUCAGGAUUAUGAGGAUGUAUUGCACAUUCAUGGUGUUUCUAAUGGUAAAGUAUAUGUUUUGGCUAGUUUUGAUAUUUUUAUGAAUGGUUUGCCAAAUAUUUUUGUACAUUAUUCACCACUUACUAAAAUUAUUAAGAAAAUUAUUGGUCUUAUAACUAUAUAUUUAAAGCUAAUAAAGGUUAUAGAUGUGUUAUAUUUGAACUAGGUGAUUUGGUUUUGGUGUAUAUAAGGAAGGAAAGAUUUCCAACUCAUAAGAGAUUUAAGUUGCAACCUAAAGAAGAUGGUCAAUUCCAAGUUCCUAAAUGAAUCAAUGACAGUGCAUAUAAAAUGGAUCUUCCAAGUGAGUAUAGUAUUAGUGCUACUUUUAAUAUUUAUAAUCUUUUUCUAUUUGAUGCAGGUAAUGAUUUAAGGUCAAAUAUUUUUUAUGAGAAAGGAAACAAUCAGAAUUAAAAGGAAACAUUGCAUGUAACGAUUAGGCCAAUUACAAGGUCAAAGGUCAAGAGGAUUAAAGAAGCACUUAAUAGGUUUAUUCAAGAUAUUUGAGCUAAAUCAAGUUUGAAGAUUACAAUAAAGGUUAUUUGUUUCCAUAAGGUUUGUGGUUCUCUUACAAAGACAAGGAUUCUUUAUUUGGGCUGCAUAAUAGAGACUACAACAUAGAAUUCUUUAUUUGUUAAAUAUUCAACUAGCAAUUUGAGAUUAAUUAAUUGGCAAGGUUCUCAUGCAGGGAAAGGACAACAUAUAAGCAAUAUAAGGAGAAUUAAUUUCAUAGUCAACAAGUUUUGGAUUUUUAAUAGCCCAAGUAUAUCAAGGCAACAACUAUUUAAUUCUAUAGAGUCAAAGUUGGUUAAGACUUUUCAAAUGGUACAAACUUCAGCUAUCUUAUGUAAGGGAGAUUAUUUAGGCUAAUUGUUUUUUAUUUAGGCCAAUGUUUUUAUGGACAUACGAUAGUUUGUUUAAUUAUUUUAAUUUUAAGUAUUUGUUAUUUAUUUUAGAAGCCUAAAGUUAUUUUUUUAAAUUGGGUUUUAAUGUCAUCUAAUUAGUCUAUUAGGGUUUGUUUAUUUUGUAAACUAUAAAUAACUUGUUUGAAGGGUUAAACAAAAAAAGAUUUGGAUUAUUUUCAGAAUAAUAUUUUGUAUGUGGCGAGGUCGCUCAUACUCUUGGUUUGUCAUUAAACGCUUCAAAACUAAUCAAAGAUUAACUAUCUUUGUGGCAUUCAUAUUCAUAUUUAUACUUCUAGUUCUUGAUUAUCUAUAAUCAACGGGUUAGAAGGUCAUUCAUUCAAUAACUUCAAUUCUUCGGUUCAAAGUAAUAAUUGCGUUGAGUUUUUAUCUUCAAUUUGAUUUUAUCUUUCUUGGUUGUUUUUAUCUUGUUUGUUGGUUUAAGGGUUCUUACCCUUCAGGUUCACAUCAUAAGACGUAAAGUGUAAUUUCUCAAAGUACAGCAGGAAAGUAAAAACAUAAUCAAACUAUAAGAUGUUUUUUUAAUUAUCCAAAUAAAAUAUAAAAUUCAUGAAUAAAUAGUAACUCAUUUCAAAAAAUGAAUUUUUACACACUUGAAUACAUAAAAACACGAUAUAAUAAUUUUACACACUUGGUAUUUUCUCUCUCUAGCUUUGGUUUCUUUAUUUCUUUCUUUUCCCCUUUAUUUAGAGGUAAGGAUGAAGCUUCUUACUUUGAUUAUGGCCAUUGAUUUUCUUAGGUCAAUCUUAACCAUCCAUAACAGUUGUACCCUUUUGACAAAGUAUGCUUGAGUUAGGAUUUUUGCACUAGUUUUUCAAUGAAUUUAAAGGGUUAGAGCAUGUGUUUUUUGGUUGAACAUGAAUUACAUAUACAGUGGAGGAGAUGACUUGUUUUUUGGCCUUUUUCAAUGGUGUGGGAGAGAGAAAUGAGUGCCUAAAGUCAGUCAAAAAACCUGAAGAAAAGUUGCAGAUCGUGCUAGAGAAGAAAAUGUUUUUUUACCAUACACCAAAACAACAUCGUUUCGAUUCGUUGGCCUUAUUUUCAAAACGAUGUCGUUUUGAUUAAAAGGGAAGUUUUUGUUUUUUCAACAGGGCCCUCCAAGUUUUCUGUCUUUUCCAUUUAGAUCCUUGACUUUUUAUUUUAUUUUUAUUUUCAUCUAAUUUUGACCUUUUUCUCAAUAUUUCUUUCAAUUUAUUCCUUAAUUGAUUAAAAAAAGAUCCCUCAAUAUUAGCACAUUUUCCAAUUCAGUCAUUGGCUUUCUAAUUUUCAAAUUUUAGCUAAUUUCAACCCUUUUCUUUUAAUUUGUUUUCCUAAAAAAAUAGCCUUUCAAUUUUGACAUCUUUUUCAUUUCGGUUAUUGGCUUUUAAAAUUCUGAUUUCUAGUAAAUUUCACUCAUUUCCUCUCAGUUUCAUCAUAAUUUCAUCCCCUAAUUGCAUUUUUCUUAUCCCUUAACCUUCAUUUGUCUUUCAAUUUGGUCCUUAGCUUUCUAAUUUUUUUAUUUUUAGCCAAUUUCAGCCUUUUUGUCUCAAUUUCUUCACAUUUUAUUGUCCUUUAUCUUCCCUAUUUCUUUUAAUUUGGUCCUUAGCUUUCCAAUCUUUAAUUUUUCACAAAUUUCAAUCAUUUUUCUUUUAUUUGUUUUCUUAAUUUCACCCCUGAAUGCAUUAAAAAUGCCCCCCCACUUCUAUGUCUUUUCCAAUAUAGUUUUUAACUUUCUAAUUUUCAAUUAUCUUACCAAUUUCAACCCUUUUCUCAAUUUUUCUUCACAUUAACCCCCUAAUUGCUUAUUUUUUUCUCAAUUGUUUUCUUUUUUUUCUACCUCUCCUUUCUGUUUUUUUUAUUAUUAUUAUUUUUAUUUCUUUUUCAACUGCAUAUUUUAUAAGUAACAAUUUUUGGGAAAUUUUGACUAGGAAACUUUUUUUUCUUUGAUAAUUUUUUUUUGAAUUUUUUUAGGGGGUAAGAAUUGAGUUAUGACAAUAAAACACUAAUUGUAAUCUCAUAACAUACAAAGAUAAACUGGUUAAAACCUGAUUUGAAUAUAAACAAAUCUAGGAGAGUAAAAUUACACGUGGCGUUGUUUUCGUGAGCUUAAAAAAAAAAGGAUAGGCCAUGGGGAACUCUUCUUCAAUAUCAUUAAACUCGACCUAACGAGUCAACCUUGA